AGCAAGGACCACGCCUCUGCUGGGAGCCUGGUGUGCUAGCACACACUCCGCAAUACCUCCUGCCUGCGAGCCCAUGCUGCACAGUCCCUGGGGCUUGGUCAGAUGUCCUGUGCCACCUAGACCCUCCGUGCACAGGAGUGGUUCAAUAAAACACAAGGAAAAGAAAGAGAGUUCAACGCCAGAUUGCUACAGGCCUGACGGAUGACUGACAGAAACUUGAUGGCUUCUGGUGCAGGUGCAGGUGGAAGAAGAUUCAUCUUCUCUUGGAGGGACGACCAUUAGGAAGCUGACCAUGCUCCAGCAAAAUGCUGUCUAAACUGGACUAAGGAGAUACAGGGAAGUCAGCUGCUGAGCUUUGCCAAAACAAGGUUUUACAGCAGCCAGUGGUGGCAGGAAGCACUCAGAAGCAAAGACAACCUACCAAGUGCCGGCAGCCCAAGAGCCCCUCUCUACUUUGCUAUCUCUCUUUUCUUUUUCUUUUGAGACAGCAUCUCAAGUAUCCCAGGCUGACCUCACACUCUCUGUGUAGCUGAGAAUAAACCUGAAAUUCUGGUCCUCUGGCCUACCUUCCAAGUGCUGGGAUUACAGGUUAGAGUUAUUAUUCAGGUUUCUGUAGUAUGGGGAAUUGAAUCCAGAGUCUCAGGCAUGCUAGGCAAGCACUCUACCAACUAAGCUACAAACAAAGCCCUCUGUCUCAAUAUUUUUUACGCAAAAAGAGAUGUAAGAAACUGAGUUUGAAGGACAGACAGAUGUAUCUGCUAAGGUCUUGUGAGAGCUACAUUGUUGCCGUGGUAUGACUGCUUGUGUCCCUUCAAAACUCAUCAUAUGAGGCAAAUUUACAUAAUAACAUUGAAAGGGUAAGGGGACCUAAUUAGUGGAUUGCUUGUCCUAGAUUCAGCCUCAACUACAUACUAAGUUCAAGCACCAGUCAAAAGCAAGAAAGCAGUGGGAUCUUUGGGCAGUUUGAGAUUGGCGUCUUUGCUUGCUUGAAUUUGAAAUGGCAACCUUUGCUGGUGGUGUUAUUUUGGAAGGUUCUGGAAACUUUAGGACUGGGGACUACUUUGGAGGUUCAUACUUAGUCCUUGGUCUGUUCCUUUCUUCUUUUGGAUAAGGAGAAGGUGUGUAGCCUCUGGAACCCAAAACCACCAAUGUGUUUUGCUUGUAGCGGCUAGUUUAUGAUACUUUGUAUCUGGAAUAGACUGAGACUCAGGCUAAACCAGGGAGAUUUCCCUGCCCUCUCCCCCAACACUGGGCCUCAUUUAAAGGACACUAAUCCCAUCUCUCAGUGGAGAUGCCAGGCUAAAGGCUCUUUACUUUGAUAAGUUCUUUCAAUAUUGUUUCUCAACGAAGUCACCAGGGCUUGGAAAGGGAGAGUGACAGUACAGUUCUGGGCAGAGUCGGAACGUGUAUGCCACACGGACCCAGAGCUUCACAUCAGAUUCUGGCCAGUUCAAAAGUGAUGACCCAGAAUAAGUUAGCAUCUUAGCAUGUCUUCUAGGCUCUGCCCAACAGUUACCCCAAACCGCCAGGUAAACCUUGCUUACUCUAAAAAGGACUGUUUGGUCUCUCCCUCUCCCUCUCGCUCUCCCUCUCCCUCUCCCUCUAGCUCUCUGACUCUCUUCUCUCUGACCCUGUUCUCCCUCUCUCCCUUUCCCCUCACCCCCUCUCCACAUUCCCAUUCCCAGACAGCCUCUUCCCUUCUUUUAUUCUCUUUUUCUCUGUCCUUCUCUGUCCUCUCUCUUUCUUUGCCUCUACUCCCUUUUCAACUCCCCUUCCCUACCCAUAAAUAAACUCUAUUCUAUAUU
ensembl:lincRNA